rnacentral:tRNA from 2 species
GGAGAGGUGCCAGAGUGGCCGAAUGGGACGGUCUCGAAAACCGUUGUGCGGGUAACUGUACCGAGGGUUCGAAUCCCUCCCUCUCCGC